rnacentral:rRNA from 1 species
AACGACUCUCGGCAACGGAUAUCUCGGCUCUCGCAUCGAUGAAGAACGUAGCGAAAUGCGAUACUUGGUGUGAAUUGCAGAAUCCCGUGAAUCACCGAGUCUUUGAACGCAAGUUGCGCCCAAAGCCCUUAGGCUGAGGGCACGUCUGCCUGGGCGUCACGU